rnacentral:rRNA from 1 species
AUUGAACGCUGGCGGCAUGCCUUACACAUGCAAGUCGAACGGUAACAGGUCUUCGGAUGCUGACGAGUGGCGAACGGGUGAGUAAUGCAUCGGAACGUGCCCAGUAGUGGGGGAUAGCCCGGCGAAAGCCGGAUUAAUACCGCAUACGACCUGAGGGUGAAAGGGGGGGAUCGCAAGACCUCUCGCUAUUGGAGCGGCCGAUGUCAGAUUAGCUAGUUGGGGGGGUAAAGGCCUACCAAGGCAACGAUCUGUAGUUGGUCUGAGAGGACGACCAGCCACACUGGGACUGGGACACGGCCCAGACUCCUACGGGAGGCAGCAGUGGGGAAUUUUGGACAAUGGGCGCAAGCCUGAUCCAGCAAUGCCGCGUGCAGGAAGAAGGCCUUCGGGUUGCAAACUGCUUUUGUCAGGGAAGAAAUCUUCUGGGUUAAUACCUCGGGAGGAUGACGGUACCUGAAGAAUAAGCACCGGCUAACUACGUGCCAGCAGCCGCCGUAA